UACGUAGGGGGCAAGCGUUAUCCGGAUUUACUGGGUGUAAAGGGAGCGUAGACGGCUGGCCAAGUCUGAAGUGAAAGCCCGGGGCUUAACCCCUGAACUGCUUUGGAAACUGCCAUGCUAGAGUGCUGGAGAGGUAAGUGGAAUUCCUAGUGUAGCGGUGAAAUGCGUAGAUAUUAGGAGGAACACCAGUGGCGAAGGCGGCCUGCUGGACGAUGACUGACGUUGAGGCUCGAAAGCGUGGGGAGCAAACAGG
rnacentral:rRNA from 1 species